rnacentral:sRNA from 1 species
AAAAACAUUUUCAAACCAGCUCUAAUCAACUGGUAACCCAUAAAUUAAGUGAGGAUUGGCAUAUAAGAGAAUUGGCAUUAGAAAUCUUUUU